AUACGGAGGGUGCAAGCGUUAAUCGGAAUUACUGGGCGUAAAGCGUGCGUAGGCGGUUUAUUAAGUCAGAUGUGAAAGCCCCGGGCUUAACCUGGGAACUGCAUUUGAUACUGGUAGACUAGAGUAUGGUAGAGGGGGGUAGAAUUCCUAGUGUAGCGGUGAAAUGCGUAGAUAUUAGGAGGAAUACCAGUGGCGAAGGCGGCCCCCUGGACCAAUACUGACGCUGAGGUACGAAAGCGUGGGGAGCGAACAGGAUUAGAAACCCUAGUAGUCC
rnacentral:rRNA from 1 species